rnacentral:rRNA from 1 species
AGCAGCCGCGGUAAUUCCAGCUCCAAUAGCGUAUAUUAAAGUUGUUGCAGUUAAAAAGCUCGUAGUUGAAUUUCGGGAUCAGUACGCUGGUCAUGCCUUAGGUAUGCACUGGUGUCACUGGUUCCUCCCUUCUGGCGAACCGACAUGCCAUUCACUUGGUGUGGCGGGAAAUCAGGACUGUUACUUUGAAAAAUUAGAGUGUUUAAAGCAGGCUCACGCUUGAAUACAUUAGCAUGGAAUAAUGAAAUAGGACGUUGAUCUUAUUUUGUUGGUUUCUAGGAUUGACGUAAUGAUUAAUAGGGAUAGUUGGGGGCAUUAGUAUUCAAUUGUCAGAGGUGAAAUUCUUGGAUUUAUUGAAGACUAACUACUGC